rnacentral:rRNA from 1 species
AUUGAACGCUGGCGGCAUGCCUUACACAUGCAAGUCGAACGGCAGCACGGGAGCGAAUCCUGGUGGCGAGUGGCGAACGGGUGAGUAAUGUAUCGGAACGUACCUUUCAGUGGGGGAUAACGUAGCGAAAGUUACGCUAAUACCGCAUAUUCCUGUGAGCAGGAAAGCAGGGGAUCGCAAGACCUUGCGCUGAUUGAGCGGCCGAUAUCAGAUUAGCUAGUUGGUGAGGUAAAGGCUCACCAAGGCGACGAUCUGUAGCGGGUCUGAGAGGAUGAUCGCACACUGGAACUGAGACACGGUCCAGACUCCUACGGGAGGCAGCAGUGGGGAAUUUUGGACAAUGGGCGCAAGCCUGAUCCAGCCAUGCCGCGUGAGUGAAGAAGGCCUCGGUGUAAG